GGCGUAGUGGUGUAGUGGGUAGAACACGGGCUUGGGACUCAGAAAGUCGUGGGUUCUAAUCCCUGCUCCGCCA
rnacentral:tRNA from 1 species